rnacentral:rRNA from 1 species
AUUUUGGAGAGUUUGAUCCUGGCUCAGAACGAACGCUGGCGGCGUGGAUUAGGCAUGCAAGUCGAACGAGAACUUUGAGUGUUGAGGCUUCGGCCGAUACAUUCUUAGGGAGAGUGGCGAAAGGGUGAGUAACACGUGGGUAAUCUACCUUAAGGUUUGGGAUAACCUGUCGAAAGAUAGGCUAAAACUGGGUAAGACUACGGGAGCUUCGGCUUCUGCAGUAAAACAUGGCCUCUAUUUAUAAGCUAUGGCCUUUAGAUGAGCCCGCGACGUAUUAGCUAGUUGGUAGGGUAAUGGCCUACCAAGGCAGAGAUGCGUAGCUGGUCUGAGAGGAUGGUCAGCCACACUGGGACUGAGACACUGCCCAGACACCUACGGGUGGCUGCAGUCGAGAAUCUUUCGCAAUGGGGGAAACCCUGACGAAGCGACGCCG